CAGGGAUUUGAAAACCAUCUUGAGGGUUUCAAGAGCAAGUAACUCCAGGGACGCCUGAGAGAUGGGGCAUGAGGGGUCAACCGCCCCUGUUGCCUUUUUAUAGGAGGGGCAACGGGGCUAAAGUACCCUUUUAUAGAAGUGCCCUUGACACCGGUCUUUUGCAGAAAAUCCAUGAGAUUUGUAUGAAAUCUUGACUGUAGUCCCUUAUUUAUGACAACAUUUCUUGAAACUUAUGGAGAAAUUUCUUAUGCCAAAAUUUAGCCAAUUUUUAAGAUACUCACAGAAGAUCGAAACAAAAGGACAGUUAAGAAAGAAUUUUUGGUAGCUGGGAAUUAAUUUUUUCAAAUGCCUUUUACUCAAGCCCACCCCCCUUGCCCCUUGGUCGUUUCGGCAUCCCUGAGUAACUCCCUGACUGUGGGCCAUCCAAGAGCACAAAUGAUUGGCAAGGAUAAUUGAUAGACAUCCUAUAAUUGUUCUGGCUGCAUGGUUUUGUAACUUUUGAAGUUUAUCAAGAGAGGGUUCAAUAUCAUUAACCAAAUAGAGCAGCAAUAUCUAAGAAGAAUCUUCGUACUGGCAUAAAUGAACUUGUGAAAAGGACAAGGGACUAGCAAAUGCACAUUGACAAAUAGCAAGGAAAACAGAGGCCAUGAGGCUUGACGAAAUGGAAUGAUUCCUGACAACUUGCCUUCAUUCAUAGAGCUGUGAGACUUUCUUCUUUCUUGCUGUUUUAUAUAGUCUUGCAAAACUGUAAGAAGAUCUUUCUUUCCUCCAGCCCCGUACACCAGGCCAGAAGCAGCCAUGUCUGUAACGGGAAGGAACUUCGAUACUAUUUCAUGUAAAACGUUUUGCAAUGAAUGGGCUGCAUGAAAUGAGCUCCGAAAGAAGA